AACUUGGAAAGCAGGGCGUUCUGCCUUUCUUCUCUUCCCCAAAACGAACGAGUGAGCGCAUACCACGUCCACUCAGAUUUCCACAUUUGUCACGGACGCAGUGUACUCUCAAAAGAGCUACAAUGACCGUAAUGAUUCACGAAGAUUUCAUGACGGCUUUCAGUUUGUCUAUUGAAGAUAAAGAAUCCCAGCUCGGAGAUGGGUGACCAAAUCUUUGGCCGCUGGAUGUAAUACUCAACCAUAAUGUUGGAACUCCUGUAUUCAUCGAGUAAUGCAGCUGUGUGUUAAUGGUGUCAUGGCCUGCAGGAAAUGUUGCCAAGCCACGUGGUCAAAACUCAGCAUUAUGGGUACAUUUGGCAGCAGGGCAACAAAAAUGUGUUCCUUUACUAUCGAGUAUAUGCUCUCAUCAGCCUACAAAAAUGAACAUUUAAAUUACUCAAGUGUUGUGGGACACAUCUCAGUGUGAUAAAAUAUCUCAAAAGUUAGCAGUUUAUGCACAAAAUAUAAAUAAAAUCUCUGAAUGCACGCACUAUAAAUAACAUUGAAAUUCCAUAAAAUGAAUGUAAACAUCUGCAACUAUAUUUACUUUAAGACUUAGGAAAUGGUCACUGGCAAGAGUUUUUAAACCGUUUCGCCAUGUAGCUGUUGUGUUGGUCUAGUGCAAAAUUUGGGGAUUGCUGCACUUUUGUGCUGGGAAAUGCGAAGCCCUUGCUUGGUAGUGAGAGAUGGUAAUGUGAAGUAACUGAACACCUUACAAUUUACUUGAAUAAUGCCAGCAGAGUCUGUUUAAAAAGGGUGCAUAUCCUUGUCCUUUUGCCCAGUGUACCCACAUUGCUUUGCGUUUGAUUGCACAGAUUGGCGAAUUCAAAUUGGGUGCAGUACUGUUUACGGUGUCCAAGUGGCUGCAAUGUGGCAGGUGCCUCUACGGGGUAUGUUGGGAAGGGGGAAGGUUUCUCCUCAAAUCUCUGAUAAUCCCGUUAGGUCCCCACAGUGAAGAGAUCACAUAAUGAGCUACUAACUUUUAAAAUGGGGACAUGACAUUUUGCUGUGGGAUUUUGUCACAUGAUUGUGCUGAUGCCAUUUUUGUUUUGCAGCUCCAAUUUACAUUUUGUGCUUGCAUAAUGUGUGAGGACAUGCCUGACGUAUUAAAAUGUUUUUGGCGCAGGGUUUGAACGAUGGGCAAACCCCAAAGAAAUAUUAAAUGGUCUGUUUUGUCGAUGAUGAUUCAUAUUCGGUUCUUCUGAUGUAAAGCUGAAGUUCACUCGCAGCGCACUGAGACACUCAGACCAUCAAAAGUUUUUCUUUAACUUGCAUUUUAUGCUGAAUAAAACUGAUCAAUU